rnacentral:rRNA from 1 species
GUCUCUUCGUUUUUUUGAUAUGGGGAGUCUGGCCUGCCCGGUGACUAAUGAGUUAAACGGCCGCGGUACUUUGACCGUGCAAAGGUAGCAUAAUCAUUUGCCUCUUAAUUGGGGGCUGGUAUGAAUGGCUUGACGAAAGCAUGUCUGUCUCUUUUAUAUUUUCUAGAAAUUGAUUUUCAGGUGAAAAAGCCUGGAUUUACCUAAAAGACAAGAAGACCCUGUUGAGCUUGAAUAUAUUUUUAAGGAAGUGGGCUAUAUGUUGGUAUAGGUUUUGUCUUUUAUUUGUUUUUGGUUGGGGCGACCUAGGAACAGAUAAAGCUUCCUUAAGGAGUUUGUAAACUGUCGGGUCUGGAUCCGCUAUGUAGCGAUUAAAGGAAAUAGCUACCACAGGGAUAACAGCGUGAUCCUUUUUGAGAGUUCUUAUUGAAAAGGGGGGUUGCGACCUCGAUGUUGGACUAGGGUUUCCAGAAGGUGGAGAAGUUUUUUAGGUUAGUCUGUUCGACUAUUAAAACCCUA